rnacentral:piRNA from 1 species
UAUCUAAAACUCAUUAUUUCC